rnacentral:rRNA from 1 species
GAUGAACGCUGGCGGCGUGCCUAAUACAUGCAAGUCGAGCGAACGGACGAGAAGCUUGCUUCUCUGAUGUUAGCGGCGGACGGGAGAGUAACACGUGGAUAACCUACCUAUAAGACAGGGAUAACUUCGGGAAACCGGAGCUAAUACCGGAUGAUAUUUUGACCCGCAUGGUUCCAGAGUGAAAGACGGUCUUGCUGUCACUUAUAGAUGGAUCCGCGCUGCAUUAGCUAGUUGGUAAGGUAACGGCUUACCAAGGCAACGAUGCAUAGCCGACCUCAACGGGAGGUUGAGCAGCCGGGAAGAGAGACUGGGCACCGACUUUGAGAGUGAGCCACAGUAGGGAAUCUUCCGCGAGGGGCGAGAGGCUAACGGAGCAACGCGGCGGGAGUGAUGAAGGUCUCAGGACCGGAGAACUAUGUUAUUAGUGAGGUACAUAUGUGUUAGUAACUGGGCAGAUCAUGACGGUACCUAAUCAGAAAGCCACGGCUAACUACGUG